ensembl:lncRNA
GUUCAUAAAUCGUAGUAGUGGUAAGUGCUGGGAAAAGUUUAUAUUAAAAGCCAAGAUUAGAAAAAGAAAUAAAAAAUAUGGUAAAAUAAUAAAUGAAUUAAUUAUUGACAACAUUAUUGGCACUAUAGAAAUACAAAAUGAGCUGUUUUUAUUUGUAGUAGAAAAAUGGAAAUUAUUAUGUAAAUUUUUUUAUUUAAAUAAAUAUAGAAACAUAUAUAAAAUUGAAAGAGUAUAUUAUGUACCAUAUAAUAUGAAUAUGGUAUCAGUGAACACAGCUAUAAAUAAUUCUCUGAAUAUUGAUGAUAAUACAACUAAUUAUUUUAUUAAUAGUAUGAAUGAUAAUGAAGAUAUUAAUAAUAAAUUUGUAGUAUUAAAUAAUUGUGACAAUGUUAAUAAUUAUAACAACAACAUUCGUUAUAAUAGUGUUAGUACGGGUAGUGCUAUUGCUAAUACAACUGCAAAUGCAACUACAAGUGCAACUGCAAGUGCUUUAAGUAACGACUAUAACAUUAAUCACGUUUUUGAUUUUAUGUAUAAAAAUAAUUAUCCUGUGAAACUCUCUAAUAAUAAUAUAGAAGUAUGCAAAAAAAAAAAUGAUAAUAUUCAUCAAGUUGAAACAGAUGAUAAAUUAAUAAAUGAUAAAAAAAAAAAGGAGUUAUACGAUAAUAAAAAUGACAUGGAUAGGGAGGUGAGUAUACAACAAGGGACAGUUACGGAAGAAGGUAGUUCCGAUUACAAGUGUCAUGUACGUAAUGUGUUGAAUAAGUAUGACGUCGCGUCGAAUAAUACAGGCAUUAACAGUCCUAACUCACAUUCGGACUCAUUUGAUAAUGAGUUUGAUACCACUUAUAACAAUGUAUGUUAUAAAAAAGAGACAUGGCCUGACGAAUUGGAACUAAACGAAGGAAUAUUCGAACGGCAUUUCACUAAAGAUAAUACUAACAAUAGAAGUAGCAGUGGCAAUAACAGAAUAAGUAGCAGUAUUAACAAAAAAGUAGAAAAAAAUAAAAAAACAUUAACAUUUAAUACAGCAAAAAAAUGGUUAACAAACCAGUUAAAUCAUAAGAAUAUACUUAACAUAUUAUCAGAUAUAACUAAUUAUGAUGUUAAAAAUGUAAAUGAAAAUGAUGAUAGUUCAUCAUUUAAGCCAAAAAAAAACAGACAAGAAAACAGUUACGGUACAGAUGAAAAUAAAGACAAUACGGACGAUGAUAGUAGUAGUAGUAGUAGUAGUAAUAAUAAUAAUACUCGCUUGUAUAACUUAGAUAAGAUAAAGAUGGAAAAAACGUAUAGAGAAUAUACAUCAGGAAGAAGACAAUACAACAGUACUAAAACUGAGAAAGUUAAUUUAGUUGAAAAUGAAUAUGCAUAUACAAACCAGAGUAAUAACGAUAAAUUACAAGAACAAAAUUUACUAUCGCCAAAAAUGAAUACUAAUCUGUUUUUUUAUAAUGAUAAUAUUAGGACCCAUGCCAACAACGACUUUUUUAGCGAUACGAUUAACACUACAUAUGUAAAGAAUAAAGAGUAUGGUACACCGAAUGAUAUUAUAAAAACACAUACACAAAAUAAUAUACAGUCAUAUGAUAACAAAAACGAACAAAAUAAAUUUGAAAAAGGAAUAGAAAGCAUGAAAAGAGAAUGUGAAAAUAAAAAAAGUGAUUAUAGUUUUGACCUCUUUGAUAUUAAUGACUAUUUUGAUAAAAACAAUAAUGUAAUAGAUGAAAAUAAUAAUUUGCAACCGAAGAUAGUUAAUGAGAAUGAAAAAAAAAUAAAAAAUUUGGAUAUGGGAGAAGUUAAUUAUAGUUUAGUUGACGAAACAAAUGUAACUAAUGAGAGUGUGAAAAAUGAAGUGAAGAGUAGUAGUAUUGAAGAUUAUAAAAUGAAUAAUGCUCAUUUUAAUGUUGAACCGGUAGGCGUUGAACCGGCGGGCAUUGAACCGGUAGGCGUUGAACCGGUAGGCGUUGAACCGGUAGGCGUUGAACCAGUAGGGGUUGAACCGGUAGGCGUUGAACCGGCGGGCAUUGAACCAGUAGGGAUUGAACCAGUAGGGGUUAAACCAACAGGGGUUAAACCAGCAGAGGUUAAACCAGCAGAGGUUAAACCAGCAGAGGUUAAACCAGCAGGGGUGGAAAAAAAUACUUUUCAAAAAAAUGUGAAGGACAGUAUGAAUGAUUAUAAGGGUGACGGCAAUGAAGAUGACGAAGAAGAAGAAGAAGAAGACGAUGACGACUAUAAUUAUAAUAAUAGUAUAAAAAGUGAUGAUAAAAAAAUAAAUUUAAAAUUAGAUAUCCAUAGAAUGUUAAAAAUGAUACAAAGAAUUUUAUCAAUUCAUAUGUAUUAUUCAUAUGAUUAUGAUUUAACUCAAUGUAUACAGAAAAAAAUGUUAAAAAAGAUAGAAGAAGAUGAAAUAAAUCCUAUGUUUUAUUCUAAGAGGUGGGGUAGUAUUAACAAGGGUGAUACAAACCAAAGUGAUACAAACAAUGAUGAUAACGGUAGUAAUAGUAGUAGCAGCUUGAGUUGUGAUAUUUACAACGACAAUUACAUUGAAAGUAGUAAUAAAAAG